rnacentral:rRNA from 1 species
ACACGCAUGACACACUGCAUAUCAAUAAGCGGAGGAAAAGAAACUAACAAGGAUUCCCUUAGUAACGGCGAGUGAAGCGGGAAGAGCUCAAAUUUGAAAUCUUCAAGGUUUUACCUUGACGAAUUGUAGUUUAAAGAAGUGUUUUCUGUUGACGUUUUGGUAAAAGUUCUUUGGAAUAGGACAUCAUAGAGGGUGAGAAUCCCGUAGUUUGACCGUUACUUUCCAGCUGUGUGAUACACUUUCAAAGAGUCGGAUUGUUUGGGAAUGCAGUCCAAAAUGGGUGGUAAAUUUCAUCUAAAGCUAAAUAUUGGCGAGAGACCGAUAGCGAACAAGUACCGUGAGGGAAAGAUGAAAAGAACUUUGAAAAGAGAGUUAAACAGUACGUGAAAUUGUCAAAAGGGAAGCGUUUGACACCAGUGUUGUUUAGUUGAAAAUCAAUUCAAUAAUUUUUGAUUUUAAGUAGUAUUGACUUCAUCAGCUUGCUGCUUUCUUUUCAGGAAUUAUUGAAUGCACUUUUCAGUUAACAAGUCAACAUCAAUUUCUUUUGUUGUAAAAGGGUAAGAGGAAGGUGGCUUACGCUUCGGCGUAAGUGUUUAUAGCCUUUUACCUCUGCAAUCGGAGAGAUUGAGGACAGCAGCGUAGACUCUUCGGGGUUAGAUACACUUGUGCUAAGCUAUAGCCUUGUAUAGACAACUUGUUGACUAUGCUCAGUCAUGUAGCUUACUCGCUUGUGCUAUUUUACCUACGCUUAGGAUGUUGACUGAUAUGUAGUCGU